rnacentral:rRNA from 1 species
AGCGAACGUUAGCGGCGGGCCUAACACAUGCAAGUCGAACGCGAAAGGUCUUCGGACUGAGUAGAGUGGCGCACGGGUGAGUAACACGUAGGUAAUCUACCCUUUGGCGGGGAUAACGUUCCGAAAGGAGCGCUAAUACCGCAUAAGACCACGGAGUCUCCGGACGCUGUGGGAAAAGGUGGCCUCUUCUUGAAAGCUACCACCGAAGGAUGAGCCUGCGUCCCAUCAGCUAGUUGGAAGGUAAUGGCUUACCAAGGCGAAGACGGGUAGCUGGUUUGAGAGAAUGAUCAGCCACAUUGGCACUGGAACACGGGCCAGACUCCUACGGGAGGCAGCAGUGAGGAAUAUUGGGCAAUGGGCAAAGCCUGACCCAGCCACGCCGCGUGAGUGAUGAAGGCCCUCGGGUCGUAAAGGCUC